CUUCUCUCUCUACCUUGCUCUCUCCCAGCGUGUGUGUGCUGCACGGAGCUGGAGAUAAAUGUCCAUUUUUGUGUGAGGAAAUAUUGAGUAAAGACGCUGUUUAAACUGUACUACAGUGAUACACAAGUACCCUCGUUGGAGAUUUUUUAGUUAUCAACCGAGUUGGAUAAACUUUUGCGCUGUUUGAUUGAGGGAGACUCCGGUUGUUUUAAUAGACGGGAGAAACGAGUGAACUUGUCAAAUCCAAGAUGGCGAGCCAACCCUGAAACUACGAUCCCCAGAAUCCUAUGCGAGCGUUUUCCCGCCACCCGAGCCCCAACGGCGCCUCGAGGAGGGAAACAGAUAAGAGGAGCAGAGACACACACACACACACACUCUAAAAAAAACGUAGUCUACCCGGGUAGUGAAGAGACCCACUUUUUCUGACAAUAGCAAACUCAAAUCAUAAAAAAAGAAAGAAGAAGAGACACGGACUGAAACAAACAUAAAAAAGGGGACUGUUGGUUUUUUUUGAACAUUUAAAUGCUGUUUCACGAAGAAGAUUGUGAUUAGUUAAUGAGUUCUGUAAGGGUUGUUGAGCAGAUUGUGUUCUGAUUUACUUGAUACUGCAUAGAUGCACUGUAUUUCCUUAUUUUGAGGUUUUGGAUUUUGUUUUGUUUAUUAACUCAUUCAGUGAAUUUACAGUAUUAAGCCCCAUUGAAUUAAGCCACAUCCCCUUUUUAUUAUUUUUUUUUCCUUUCCCCAUUUAAUUUCAUCCACACCCAUAUUCUCUUCAUAGUCACUAAAGGUACAUUUUAUUUAUUUUUGUUCUUUUAAUUAAUAACCUGCAUCUUGAACUCUGUAUAAAUAUCCCGGUCUGUUGUAUUUUAAUCAGAGCCCUCCGAGCGAAUCUAAAGAGUCUUCUGAUACUGGUCCAACCCCGGAUUUACUGCCUAUAUAUUUUUCUAUUGUAAUACUGUUGUAUAAAAUUUCUGAUAUUUUGUGAACUAGCUAAUGUGGCUGCUGCGUUGCACAUAACGAGUGCUACACUUUAAUUCAUUUUUAAUCAAUGUCUUCCAAUACUUUUUGUUAACAAAAAUAAAAGGUGCUAUCUUCUGAACUGUGUAUCAGAUCUAAAUGAAAAUAACUGUAAAUAAAAGCUGAAAUGUUGA